GACGAACGCUGGCGGCGUGCUUAACACAUGCGAGUCGAACGGAAAGGCCCUGCUUUUGUGGGGUGCUCGAGUGGCGAACGGGUGAGUAACACGUGAGUAACCUGCCCUUGACUUUGGGAUAACUUCAGGAAACUGGGGCUAAUACCGGAUAGGAGCUCCUGCUGCAUGGUGGGGGUUGGAAAGUUUCGGCGGUUGGGGAUGGACUCGCGGCUUAUCAGCUUGUUGGUGGGGUAGUGGCUUACCAAGGCUUUGACGGGUAGCCGGCCUGAGAGGGUGACCGCCCACAUUGGGACUGAGAUACGGCCCAGACUCCUACGGGAGGCAGCAGUGGGGAAUAUUGCACAAUGGGCGGAAGCCUGAUGCAGCAACGCCGCGUGCGGGAUGACGGCCUUCGGGUUGUAAACCGCUUUCGCCUGUGACGAAGCGUGAGUGACGGUAAUGGGUAAAGAAGCACCGGCUAACUACGUG
rnacentral:rRNA from 1 species